CCUACGGGAGGCAGCAGUGGGGAAUAUUGGACAAUGGGGGGAACCCUGAUCCAGCGACGCCGCGUGAGUGAAGAAGUAUUUCGGUAUGUAAAGCUCUAUCAGCAGGGAAGAAGGAAAUGACGGUACCUGACUAAGAAGCCCCGGCUAACUACGUGCCAGCAGCCGCGGUAAUACGUAGGGGGCAAGCGUUAUCCGGAUUUACUGGGUGUAAAGGGAGCGUAGACGGCGAUGCAAGUCUGAAGUGAAAGGCGGGGGCCCAACCCCCGGACUGCUUUGGAAACUGGAUGGCUGGAGUGCAGGGGAGGUAAGUGGAAUUCCUAGUGUAGCGGUGAAAUGCGUAGAUAUUAGGAGGAACACCAGUGGCGAAGGCGGCUUACUGGACUGUAACUGACGUUGAGGCUCGAAAGCGUGGGGAGCAAACAGGAUUAGAUACCCGUGUAGUC
rnacentral:rRNA from 1 species